AUGCUGGAUCACCCACUGGAUAUUGUGGAUGGAAUAAUAGCAUUAAAUUCAAGAUGGGGAAUUUUCGUACAAAAAUGAGAAGAUCAGGAAUGGCCGAUGUCACAGUGAAUGGCAACAAGCGAAAGAGGGAUUUCCCAGAAGGAGCACCAUCAUGUAGUAACAUAAAAAGGGCAAAAAGAAGUGAAACAAAUUUCUUGCCAAAUUUUCCUAAUCGUGAAAAUGCAGAUUCGCUUGAGUCUGUUAGAAGACAACUUGAAAAUGAAGCAAAAAAGAGGCUUCCGGACUCAGCUGAUGUGAAGAAAAUGAUGGACCAGACAUUUUCUUUGCAACGCAAAGAAAUUGUGGAGGAACAGCCUCCAGUUAAAAGGAUGAUGGAACGCUGGCCUGUGCUGUUCACAGAAAGUCAGGUGUUUGCAGAGUUCUACAGAGUUGCCAGUAAGAACCUCAAAAAGACUUCUAUGAAGCUCUGGACCACCAUACCGCUCGUCUCAUUGACCUCUUCAAAUCCAGAAAAGGAGCUGUAGGCCGAUCACUUGAUCGCCUCCUCCAGUCAAUUAAUACACAAGUAAGUGUUGUUUCUGAUCUUCAUCAUUACCACCUUACAGUAGUGUGCUUGCAAGCGUCAAGUAGGCUUACAGCUGCUACAACAGUACAAGUAAUUCAUCAAUAAUGUUGGAACUCGAGCACACGUAUAUCCACAGAUUUUUUUUCUCAUAUUUUUCUUUCAUAUAUUCUUCUGCUUAUUGUUUUUUUUGUCAUCUUUUCCAUGAGACUGACAUCACCACAACACGCACUGCUGUCCUGCAAUGUCUGCCCCUGUAUCUUGGAGAUAAUUCCAGCGAAUUCUUCCUCAGUUGCUCAGAUUUGGACACUGCACAAGACUUCUCCCAGGUGCCUGUUGGGGUUCUUUGAGUCAUGACUGAUGUAACGCCACCAGUGAUUAACAGUAUUGCAAUCAUCCUUGAAGGAAACAUAGUCAUGGAUGAGGUUCCCACAACCUCUCUAGGACUUUGUCCUCUGUUCGGCUUGAUAUAUGCACUCCAUUUGGAUUACCCCAAAGGUAUUUGAUGUUUAAAAUGCAUUUGUUGUUUUUGGCAAAGAUGCUGGUUUGCGUUUUUCCUUUCAUUGCAGAAGGACAGCGGGGGAAAACUAUUUUGAAGGGACUCAGAAGCACUAAAAUGGACAGUUGUAUCGGAUCUGAACAUCACCAUCCGAUACAUCAUCAACACUACAAUAAAGAGUCGACGCUGCUGAGAAGC